rnacentral:rRNA from 1 species
AUGUUAUUUGCUGUAGGGUUCAUCUUUUUGUUCACCAUAGGAGGGCUCACUGGAAUAUUUCUAGCAAACUCUGGGCUAGACAUUGCUCUACAUGAUACUUAUUAUGUGGUUGCACAUUUCCAUUAUGUACUUUCUAUGGGAGCCAUUUUUGCUUUAUUUGCUGGAUUUUACUAUUGGGUGGGUAAAAUCUUUGGUCGGACAUAUCCUGAAACUUUCGGCCAAAUCCAUUUUUGGAUCACUUUUUUCGGGGUUAAUCUGACCUUCUUUCCCAUGCAUUUCUUAGGGCUUUCGGGUAAGCCACAUCGCAUUCCAGAUUAUCCAAAUGCUUACGCCGGAUGGAAUGCUCUGAGCAGUUUCGGUUCUUAUAUAUCCGUAGUUGGGAUUCGUCGUUUCUUCAUAGUUGUCACAAUCACUUCAAGCAGUGGAAAGAAUGGGACCUUUCUUUAUGGAAAACUUACCGUGUCUUUCACCAGAAUCUGA